GUGAGGAAUAUUGGACAAUGGGCGCAAGCCUGAUCCAGCCAUGCCGCGUGCAGGAAGACGCAUCUAUGGUGUGUAAACUGCUUUUGUACGGGAAGAAACACUCCCUCGUGAGGGAGCUUGACGGUACUGUAAGAAUAAGGAUCGGCUAACUCCGUGCCAGCAGCCGCGGUAAUACGGAGGAUCCAAGCGUUAUCCGGAAUCAUUGGGUUUAAAGGGUCCGUAGGCGGUUUAAUAAGUCAGUGGUGAAAGCCCAUCGCUCAACGAUGGAACGGCCAUUGAUACUGUUAGACUUGAAGUACAAGGAAGUAACUAGAAUAUGUAGUGUAGCGGUGAAAUGCUUAGAUAUUACAUGGAAUACCAAUUGCGAAGGCAGGUUACUACUUGUGGAUUGACGCUGAUGGACGAAAGCGUGGGGAGCGAACAGGAUUAGAAACCCGUGUAGUCC
rnacentral:rRNA from 1 species